UGCCACCCUUUUAGUCUUUACUACUUAAUCUUUAAUACUUUGUGCUACCUCCCUUUGCCAAGAUAACAGCUGAGUCUUCUCCUAUAAUGACUGAUUAGGUUGGAGAAUACGUGGCAAGGGAUCUGAGACCAUUCCUCCAUACAGAAUCUCUCCAGAUCCUUCACAUUUCCAGGUCCACGCUGGCAGUGGAGGACACUGUAGAUUACUUCAUGUCAUGGAGAUUGGUAACAACAUGGAAUAAAAUUGUAUUGUACUUCAUUCAAGGAAUGUAAAUGUUAGUUUACUAAUCAAUUUUUAGGAAAAUCAGAUUUUCUUUUUCUUUCUUUUUUUAUAUACAAAAAAAAAAACUGAACAAUGAAUGACUGUGCCAAAGUGCACAAAGCCUUCAUAACCAGCCAGCUAACAUCAUAUUUCUUUAUGCAUAAUAAAGCCAUCUGUGAGCGCGUUAUCUGGGUAGGUGUGUGCUAUGGCAGUGCAUUUUCUGAUGUGUAAUAUGCAAAUAUUAUUCAAGUGUUUAGUGGUUCUAGAAUGCAUUUAAGUUUUCAGUUCAGCAAGAGAGACCAUUUCUCUUUUUUGUUUUUGCUCGUUUUGAAUUGCUUUCUUAUAAUGUAAAUUAGGUGUCAUGUACUGUAUAUACAUAUUAAUAUGAUAUGUCUCUUGACAAAAUAAAAGUUACUGUCUGUCUCCUCGCGGAGGACUGUGUGCUAAAAUGAAUUUUAUAAUACAAGUAUAAACUAAUGUAGGGCCUCUGAUUUCAUUUUGUGCUGCAGCAGGAAAUGUACUUUUCAAAUCUCUUGCGUUCCAAAAAUUCUCAGGCUUAAAAGCAUAUCAACCAAUCUACAGGUGCAUCACAAUAAAUUAGAAUAUCCUGGAAUUUUUUUCUUUGUAAUUCAAUUCAAAAAGUGGAACUUUCAUAUUUUCUAGAUUCAUUAAACAAAGUGAAAUGUUUCAAGACUUUUUUGUUGUUUUAAUCUUGAUGAUUACGGCUUGCCAGUCGUGUGUAAAAUGAAGAUUGGAGCAUCACU
ensembl:lncRNA